rnacentral:lncRNA from 1 species
CGACAAUACAACGACAAUACAACGACAAUACAACGACAAUACAACGACAACGACAACGACAAUGACAACGACAAAGACAACGACAACGACAACGACAACGACAAUGACAACGACAACGACAACGACAACCACAACGGCAAUACAACGACAAUACAACCACAAUACAACGACCAUACAACGACAAUACAACGACAAUACAAUGACAAUACAACGAC